rnacentral:rRNA from 1 species
GAUGAACGCUGGCGGCGUGCCUAAUACAUGCAAGUCGAGCGAACAGACGAGGAGCUUGCUCCUCUGACGUUAGCGGCGGACGGGUGGGUAACACGUGGAUAACCUACCUAUAAGACUGGGAUAACUUCGGGAAACCGGAGCUAAUACCGGAUAAUAUAUUGAACCGCAUGGUUCAAUAGUGAAAGACGGUUUUGCUGUCACUUAUAGAUGGAUCCGCGCCGCAUUAGCUAGUUGGUAAGGUAACGGCUUACCAAGGCGACGAUGCGUAGCCGACCUGAGAGGGUGAUCGGCCACACUGGAACUGAGACACGGUCCAGACUCCUACGGGAGGCAGCAGUAGGGAAUCUUCCGCAAUGGGCGAAAGCCUGACGGAGCAACGCCGCGUGAGUGAUGAAGGUCUUCAGAUCGUAAAACUCUGUUAUUAGGGAAGAACAAAUGUGUAAGUAACUAUGCACGUCUUGACGGUACCUAAUCAGAAAGCCACGGCUAACUACGUG